rnacentral:rRNA from 1 species
AUUGAACGCUGGCGGCAUGCUUUACACAUGCAAGUCGAACGGCAGCGCGGGGCAACCUGGCGGCGAGUGGCGAACGGGUGAGUAAUACAUCGGAACGUACCCAGAGGUGGGGGAUAACGUAGCGAAAGUUACGCUAAUACCGCAUACGUUCUACGGAAGAAGGUGGGGGAUCUUCGGACCUCAUGCUUUUGGAGCGGCCGAUGUCUGAUUAGCUAGUUGGUGAGGUAAAGGCUCACCAAGGCGACGAUCAGUAGCUGGUCUGAGAGGACGACCAGCCACCCUGGGACUGAGACACGGCCCAGACUCCUACGGGAGGCAGCAGUGGGGAAUUUUGGACAAUGGGCGCAAGCCUGAUCCAGCAAUGCCGCGUGAGUGAAGAAGGCCUUCGGGUUGUAAAGCUCUUUUGUCAGGGAAGAAACGGCUGGGGCUAAUACCUCUGGCUAAUGACGGUACCUGAAGAAUAAGCACCGGCUAACUACGUGCCAGCCGCCGCGGUAA